rnacentral:snRNA from 1 species
GUGCUCUCUUCUGCAGCACAUAUACUAAAAUUGGAAUGGUAUAGAGAAAAUUAGCAUG